rnacentral:lncRNA from 1 species
UUGGGCUUAAGUUGAGGCCCAUAACGUUUUGAUCCAGUUUCGAUCUUUAAGGAUUUAAACUUAACCUUUGCUAAACCAAUUAAAAAAACAAUUAAUUGAAUAUCAUAUGCUAGCUGAACAUAAAUGCAAUGGACUAAAACAUGGUCUUCAAAAGAAAAACUAAACUUCAUUUAGCAAAGUGAUUUAAUAUCCUCAUGACUUCAAAUGUUAAACAGAGAUAGAAUUUUCGGGCAGAUUUAAACUUAUCUAAGUUGGAUUUGAAUACAAAAUAACAAUUCCAAAAUUUUAGUAGAACAAGGGAACCUAAGUCAACAACAGACUUUCAUUAAAAAUUUAACAAAACCAAAAAUAAACUUAAAAGAAAUGUUAUAGGUACACACUCAAUAAUUCCAUCUCACAUUGCAAUUCAAACAAGGCUGAAUGAAAUGGUUGUACACGCCUCAGAUAUUAAACUGGAUUGCAGAGAAAAUGAAGAGGAAGAAAGAUGCCAUAAUUACAUGAAUCUUAAGUCCCAAACACAAAUCUUCAUCUACUAGUAAAAGACAACACAUGAUAUUAGCUAACCAAGGCAAGAAUUACAUGAGUUAAUAAAACAUAAGAGCUAUUUACUAGAAAUAAUAUGGUUGUAUUAAUCCAAAAAAAAACACUCAUAUCUUCACAUUUAACUGGCAGCUCAAGGUUUCAAGGUAGUACCUGAAUACAUCAAGCAACAACAAGAAAAAAAUGGGUUUAGAAAUCACCAGAGAAUGAUGGACUCAACAGCAGGGAGCAACAGUAAUUAUCCAAAUAGCUUCAUUAUCAAACCAUGACUCAAAGAGAGAAAUCAAAAAAUCGAAAAGGAGAAAAAUAUUUUCCCAGAAAGAGUCAGUCAAGAAUUCAACUGGAUUUUGUUUUUUUGAGAUUUCUUUUUAGAGUCUAUUCCGUGUCCUCCAAAUAAAGAGGAAGUUCUGCCUAAAUAAGAGAUGAGAAAAACCCAUGUGCUCCCCAAAAUUUCAAGGAAAAAGAAUCUUUUCUAACAGAAAUGGACAGUUGUUAGGACAUCUAUCUUAUGCAAAUAUUCCUAUAUAUUAUUU